AGCCAGAACCAAGACCCGCUGGUGGACACAGAUUAUGUUCCAGAGCUUGCCUUCAAAGUCACUCAGUUUUGAAUUGUCCUCAAAAAAGAAGAGAUAAAAUAAAAUUAUUUAUUAUUGA